UAGUAUCGAUCCAAGGUUGUUACCCUCCUCAUCGGACUCCCCCUUCGCUUCCAUCGCCUUGAGAGCGGCCUUCUUUGGACAGUCCUUGAUCAUAUGUGGACCCUCACAGUGGAAGCACCUUAUAGGUCCACUUUUUCUCUUGUCCCAAGGCUUCUUACCGUCGCCGUUCCUAGUGGGCCUUUCUUUAUCUCCCCCACUAUUACCCUUUAAUCUGGGUUUAGAAGAAUUGGGAUUGUCUUUCCUCCCACCAAAUUCAGCAAGUGAUUCUGCUACUGACAUAGCCUUGGUGAGUUCUUGAACUCCUCGGCGUUGCAACUCUUGCUUCGCCCACGGUUUUAAUCCGUCCAUAAAGGAAAAGAAUGCCUCUUUCUCCCCCAUAUCUGCAAUUUGUAGCAUAAGCUCACUAAACUCCUGCACAUACUCCCUCACAGUGCCUUGUUGUGCAAGCCGACGCAACUUUGCCCGAGCCUCAUCCUCGGCAUACUCUGGGUAAAACUGUGCUUUGAACUCACAUCGAAACUCCUCCCAUGUUUCGAUUUCAGACCCACCACGUCUCACAUCAGUGGACCUACGACGCCACCACAACAAAGCAACAUCAGAUAAAUACAUCGCAGCAGUAGUUACCUUAGUGACAUCCUCCGUGAUGCCUUUGGCACAGAAGUAUUGCUCGAUUCCCCACAAAAAGUUGUCCACAUCUCUUGCGGACCUUGUUCCCUUAAACUCUUUGACAUGGGAACAUCAAUAUUGGGCUUGGGUGCGGCAGCCGCUAACCCACCAUUGCCCAAGGCAACCUUGUAGAUUGUGAGUUCACCCUUGAGCUCCGCAAUCUCUCCCUUCAAGGCCACCACCAUAGAAAAGGAUUCAACAGCAAAAACGCACAAGUCAACUUAACUCACAACAAUAAAGGAUUCUCCUGCAUGGACUGCAGUCCAUCAUGGAGCCUAUCAUCAACAUCUUCAACCCUCUCCUUGAUAUCCCCCAUUGAACUCUCGAGAGUGACGACGUGAUCCUCUAAAGCUGACAAUAUGUCCCUUGAGCGACUGGCUUUCCUAGCCCUCCCACGGGUCUCCAUUCCCUCAACUUCUUUUGACAUCUUUCAACGGUGGCUUCGAACCUUAGCUCGGAUACCAACUGUCACGGACUUAGAGCUUUCCCACGCGAUCCGUGCGGCCUUAGGCAGUUUCUCUGCUUAAAACGCCUAAGUCAGCCUAACUUGCAAAGAAAAAGGAUUCAACAGCAAAAACGCACAAGUCAACUUAACUCACAACAAUAAAGGAUUCAAUAGAAUUCCCUUAAGAUUUUCGCUAAGAACAGCAGAAGAAUGAAGUAAGAACGAGCCUUGAAAGAUGAACAAAAGCAAGAACACUUGAGAGAAAAGUUUGAGGGAAUACUCUCAAAAUUCUUAUUAAUAACUCCGUGAAUUACAAUGAGUACAGAGGUCUCUAUUUAUAGUUGAGCCUCAAAGUACAUCAAAGGCUAUAAUUAAAAGCUGUAUACAAUUAGAACUCUAAGACAUAAUUAGAAGCUGUAUACAAUUAAAACUCUAAGAUUAAAUAAUCAUAUCUUCUUGGGUCUCUUCCCUUAUUUAUCAGACUCUUGGGAUGGGCUUUUAAUCCCUUCAGGCAACGGGCCAGUUUGGUUGGGCCAAAUGACCUCCUUCAAAUACGAUGGAUCGCACAAGUUCGUCAUGGUUGCGUGUUCCCAUGCGCAACCCAUGACACUAG
rnacentral:lncRNA from 1 species